rnacentral:rRNA from 1 species
UAGAGUUUGAUCCUGGCUCAGGAUGAACGCUAGCGACAGGCUUAACACAUGCAAGUCGAGGGGCAGCGGGGUAGGAAGCUUGCUUUCUGCCGCCGGCGACCGGCGCACGGGUGAGUAACACGUAUGCAACCUGGCCGUGACAGAUGGAUAACCGGGAGAAAUCCCGCCUAAUACAACAUAAUGCCGGGAGGGGACAUCCCCUGCCGGCCAAAGGGGGCGACCCCGGUCAUGGAUGGGCAUGCGGCGCAUUAGGUAGUUGGUGGGGCAACGGCCCACCAAGCCGACGAUGCGUAGGGGUUCUGAGAGGAAGGUCCCCCACAUUGGAACUGAGACGCGGUCCAAACUCCUACGGGAGGCAGCAGUGAGGAAUAUUGGUCAAUGGCCGGAAGGCUGAACCAGCCAAGUCGCGUGAGGGAAUAAGGCCCUACGGGUCGUAAACCUCUUUUGCCAGGGAGCAAUGCCGUCCACGUGUGGACGGAAGGAGAGUACCUGGAGAAAAAGCAUCGGCUAACUCCGUGCCAGCAGCCGCGGUAAUACGGAGGAUGCGAGCGUUAUCCGGAUUUAUUGGGUUUAAAGGGUGCGUAGGCGGCCUGCCAAGUCAGCGGUAAAAUUGCGGGGCUCAACCCCGUACAGCCGUUGAAACUGCCGGGCUCGAGUGGGCGAGAAGUAUGCGGAAUGCGUGGUGUAGCGGUGAAAUGCAUAGAUAUCACGCAGAACCC